CCACGUCAUCCGCGCCGCCCGACGGGUUGGCAAGGCCCCCAGUGGCCAAGGCAUGAGCCUGGAUGCCCUGCAAAUUGAGUACGUGUUAGGGAUGGGGGCCAUUCUUUAUAGUUUGACUCUGGAGAGCUAGGACCACCUUUCCCAGCCUCAGGGGUGCACAUCCUCAGGAGCUGCCUACCUCCAGAUAUUCACUUCGGGACGCUGAGAGAGGUGGAUCACCUGAGGUCAGGAGUUCGAGAUCAGCCUGGCCAACAUGGAGAAACCCCGCCUCUACUAAAAAUACAAAACAUUAGCUGGGUGUGGUGGCACACACCUGUAAUUCCAGCUACUCGGGAGGCAGAAGCAGGAGAAUCGCUUGAAUCCAGGAGGCGGAGGUUGCAGUAAGCCGAGAUCACGCCACUACACUCCAGCUUACACUGGACAUGAUGAGGAGGAGGAGGAUGAUGGUGGUGAUUAUGAUAGAAAUGGUGAUGGUGAUGAUGACAAUGGUGAUAGUAGGGAUGGUCUUGCUCUGUCGCAAUCAAUAAAUGAAUGCAUAAACACAUUUCUACUUGUUUUUGCAGUCCUAAGAUAAGUGCUCAGUAGCAUCCCUGCCCUUCUAAUGUGAACUUGAGGGAUGGGUAAGACCCAGAGAUGGCAUGGGGGACGGGAUAAGGAAGGCCUACUGUUCAUAUUGUGAACAUGAAAUGGUUUUACAUUUUGAUGCCACUUCAUUAAAUUGACUGUAUGAUAUGAGCUAACGCUACACCCUCCUUUAAAUUUUGGCUAACACAUCCAUAUCCUCAGGUGGUAUCAGUUGAUAAUGCCCAUGAAAAUAUUUUGUAAACUACAGGGUGCUAAACAAUUAUUUACUUGUAUCCCUUUCUGUGGGGCACAGUUUGAUGCUAUACACAAAGCAGUGAAGUCUCGACAAGAAUGAUGACCACUACAAUGAGCACAAAAUAAAGUCUUUUUGGGGUUUUU
rnacentral:lncRNA from 10 species